UACGUAGGGACCAAGCGUUGUUCGGAAUUAUUGGGCGUAAAGAGCUCGUAGGCGGUGUGUCACGUCGGCCGUGAAAACCUGGGGCUUAACUCUGGGCGUGCGGUCGAUACGGGCAUCACUAGAGUUCGGCAGGGGAGACUGGAAUUCCUGGUGUAGCGGUGAAAUGCGCAGAUAUCAGGAGGAACACCGGUGGCGAAGGCAGGUCUCUGGGCCACUACUGACGCUGAGAAGCGAAAGCAUGGGGAGCGAACAGG
rnacentral:rRNA from 1 species